rnacentral:rRNA from 1 species
UGGGGAAUUUUGGACAAUGGGCGAAAGCCUGAUCCAGCAAUGCCGCGUGUGUGAAGAAGGCCUUCGGGUUGUAAAGCACUUUUGUCCGGAAAGAAAUCCUUGGCUCUAAUACAGUCGGGGGAUGACGGUACCGGAAGAAUAAGCACCGGUUAACUACGUGCCAGCAGCCGCGGUAAUACGUAGGGUGCAAGCGUUAAUCGGAAUUACUGGGCGUAAAGCGUGCGCAGGCGGUUUGCUAAGACCGAUGUGAAAUCCCCGGGCUCAACCUGGGAACUGCAUUGGUGACUGGCAGGCUAGAGUAUGGCAGAGGGGGGUAGAAUUCCACGUGUAGCAGUGAAAUGCGUAGAGAUGUGGAGGAAUACCGAUGGCGAAGGCAGCCCCCUGGGCCAAUACUGACGCUCAUGCACGAAAGCGUGGGGAGCAAACAGGAUUAGAUACCCUGGUAGUCCACGCCCUAAACGAUGUCAACUAGUUGUUGGGAUCAUUUCUUAGUAACGUAGCUAACGCGUGAAGUUGACCGCCUGGGGAGUACGGUCGCAAGAUUAAAACUCAAAUGAAUUG